UACGUAGGGGGCAAGCGUUGUCCGGAUUUAUUGGGCGUAAAGAGCUCGUAGGCUGUUCGAUAAGUCGGGUGUGAAACCUCCAGGCUCAACCUGGAGACGCCACCCGAUACUGUCAUGACUAGAGUCCGGUAGGGGAGCGUGGAAUUCCUGGUGUAGCGGUGAAAUGCGCAGAUAUCAGGAGGAACACCAGCGGCGAAGGCGGCGCUCUGGGCCGGUACUGACGCUGAGGAGCGAAAGCGUGGGUAGCAAACAGG
rnacentral:rRNA from 1 species